UACGUAGGGGCCUAGCGUUGUCCGGAUUCAUUGGGCGUAAAGCGCGCGUAGGCGGCCUGGCGCGUCGGCUGUGAAAGUCCAGGGCUCAACCCUGGGAUGCCGGUGGAUACUGUCGAGCUCGAGUCCGGAAGAGGCGGAGUGGAAUUCCUGGUGUAGCGGUGAAAUGCGCAGAUAUCAGGAGGAACACCAAUGGCGAAGGCAGCUCGCUGGGACGGUACUGACGCUGAGGAGCGAAAGCGUGGGUAGCAAACAGG
rnacentral:rRNA from 1 species